CCUACGGGAGGCUGCAGUGGGGAAUAUUGCACAAUGGGGGAAACCCUGAUGCAGCGACGCCGCGUGAGUGAAGAAGUAUUUCGGUAUGUAAAGCUCUAUCAGCAGGGAAGAAAAUGACGGUACCUGAUUAAGAAGCCCCGGCUAACUACGUGCCAGCAGCCGCGGUACUACGUAGGGGGCAAGCGUUAUCCGGAUUUACUGGGUGUAAAGGGAGCGUAGACGGCAGGACAAGUCUGGAGUGAAAUGCCGGGGGUUAACCCCGGAACAGCGUUGGAAACUGUGCAGCUAGAGUGAAGGAGAGGUAAGUGGAAUUCCCGGUGUAGCGGUGAAAUGCGUAGAUAUUAGGAGGAACACCAGUGGCGAAGGCGGCUUACUGGACUGUAACUGACGGUGAGGCUCGAAAGCGUGGGGAGCAAACAGGAUUAGAUACCCGAGUAGUC
rnacentral:rRNA from 1 species